UUUACUGGUGCAUGUGUGUCGUAAAUUCUAAUUAGUUCAGCAGUAAAUGAGGUGACCAUAUCGUUGAUAUUGCUUGCCGCGAGUGUAGUGGACCAAUCAGUGUUUUUAAUGUCCUCUCUCAAGCGUUCUAAAUCCAUAUGCUUAAAAUUUCGCUGAAAAAGAACUUUACCUCUAACCUUGGGUCGUACUUUAUAUGCAAGAAAAAUAAGGUCGUGGUGAGAAAAGGGGGCUGUUAUCUGCCCAUGAGAGAUAGCAAGGUUAGGGUUAGAGAUAAAGAUGAGGUCGAUGAGUGCGGUAAAAUUAAGAGUCUGCAGGUUCAAUGAUGACAA
rnacentral:misc_RNA from 1 species